rnacentral:rRNA from 1 species
GGUCAAGUGAAGAAGCGCAUACGGUGGAUGCCUUGGCAGUCAGAGGCGAUGAAAGACGUGGUAGCCUGCGAAAAGCUUCGGGGAGUCGGCAAACAGACUUUGAUCCGGAGAUGUCUGAAUGGGGGAACCCAGCCAUCAUAAGAUGGUUACCUUACACUGAAUACAUAGGUGUAUGGAGCGAACCAGGGGAACUGAAACAUCUAAGUACCCUGAGGAAAAGAAAUCAACCGAGAUUCCCUUAGUAGUGGCGAGCGAACGGGGACUAGCCCUUAAGUGGCUUUGAGAUUAGCGGAACGCUCUGGAAAGUGCGGCCAUAGUGGGUGAUAGCCCUGUACGCGAAAAUCUCUUAGUCAUGAAAUCGAGUAGGACGGAGCACGAGAAACUUUGUCUGAAUAUGGGGGGACCAUCCUCCAAGGCUAAAUACUACUGACUGACCGAUAGUGAACUAGUACCGUGAGGGAAAGGCGAAAAGAACCCCGGAGAGGGGAGUGAAAUAGAUCCUGAAACCGUAUGCGUACAAGCAGUGGGAGCCCACUUUGUUGGGUGACUGCGUACCUUUUGUAUAAUGGGUCAGCGACUUAUUUUCAGUGGCGAGCUUAACCGAAUAGGGGAGGCGUAGCGAAAGCGAGUCUUAAUAGGGCGUCUAGUCGCUGGGAAUAGACCCGAAACCGGGCGAUCUAUCCAUGGGCAGGUUGAAGGUUGGGUAACACUAACUGGAGGACCGAACCGACUACCGUUGAAAAGUUAGCGGAUGACCUGUGGAUCGGAGUGAAAGGCUAAUCAAGCUCGGAGAUAGCUGGUUCUCCUCGAAAGCUAUUUAGGUAGCGCCUCAUGUAUCACUGUAGGGGGUAGAGCACUGUUUCGGCUAGGGGGUCAUCCCGACUUACCAAACCGAUGCAAACUCCGAAUACCUACAAGUGCCGAGCAUGGGAGACACACGGCGGGUGCUAACGUCCGUCGUGAAAAGGGAAACAACCCAGACCGUCAGCUAAGGUCCCAAAGUUAUGGUUAAGUGGGAAACGAUGUGGGAAGGCUUAGACAGCUAGGAGGUUGGCUUAGAAGCAGCCACCCUUUAAAGAAAGCGUAAUAGCUCACUAGUCGAGUCGGCCUGCGCGGAAGAUGUAACGGGGCUCAAACCAUACACCGAAGCUACGGGUAUCACGUAAGUGAUGCGGUAGAGGAGCGUUCUGUAAGCCUGUGAAGGUGAGUUGAGAAGCUUGCUGGAGGUAUCAGAAGUGCGAAUGCUGACAUGAGUAACGACAAUGGGUGUGAAAAACACCCACGCCGAAAGACCAAGGUUUCCUGCGCAACGUUAAUCGACGCAGGGUUAGUCGGUCCCUAAGGCGAGGCUGAAAAGCGUAGUCGAUGGAAAACAGGUUAAUAUUCCUGUACUUCUGGUUAUUGCGAUGGAGGGACGGAGAAGGCUAGGCCAGCUUGGCGUUGGUUGUCCAAGUUUAAGGUGGUAGGCUGAGAUCUUAGGUAAAUCCGGGAUCUUAAGGCCGAGAGCUGAUGACGAGUCGUCUUUUAGACGACGAAGUGGUUGAUGCCAUGCUUCCAAGAAAAGCUUCUAAGCUUCAGGUAACCAGGAACCGUACCCCAAACCGACACAGGUGGUUGGGUAGAGAAUACCAAGGCGCUUGAGAGAACUCGGGUGAAGGAACUAGGCAAAAUGGCACCGUAACUUCGGGAGAAGGUGCGCCGGUGAGGGUGAAGGACUUGCUCCGUAAGCUCAUGCCGGUCGAAGAUACCAGGCCGCUGCGACUGUUUAUUAAAAACACAGCACUCUGCAAACACGAAAGUGGACGUAUAGGGUGUGACGCCUGCCCGGUGCCGGAAGGUUAAUUGAUGGGGUUAGCUAACGCGAAGCUCUUGAUCGAAGCCCCGGUAAACGGCGGCCGUAACUAUAACGGUCCUAAGGUAGCGAAAUUCCUUGUCGGGUAAGUUCCGACCUGCACGAAUGGCGUAACGAUGGCGGCGCUGUCUCCACCCGAGACUCAGUGAAAUUGAAAUCGCUGUGAAGAUGCAGUGUAUCCGCGGCUAGACGGAAAGACCCCGUGAACCUUUACUAUAGCUUUGCACUGGACUUUGAAUUUGCUUGUGUAGGAUAGGUGGGAGGCUUUGAAGCGUGGACGCCAGUUCGCGUGGAGCCAACCUUGAAAUACCACCCUGGCAACUUUGAGGUUCUAACUCAGGUCCGUUAUCCGGAUCGAGGACAGUGUAUGGUGGGUAGUUUGACUGGGGCGGUCUCCUCCUAAAGAGUAACGGAGGAGUACGAAGGUGCGCUCAGACCGGUCGGAAAUCGGUCGUAGAGUAUAAAGGCAAAAGCGCGCUUGACUGCGAGACAGACACGUCGAGCAGGUACGAAAGUAGGUCUUAGUGAUCCGGUGGUUCUGUAUGGAAGGGCCAUCGCUCAACGGAUAAAAGGUACUCCGGGGAUAACAGGCUGAUACCGCCCAAGAGUUCAUAUCGACGGCGGUGUUUGGCACCUCGAUGUCGGCUCAUCACAUCCUGGGGCUGAAGCCGGUCCCAAGGGUAUGGCUGUUCGCCAUUUAAAGUGGUACGCGAGCUGGGUUUAGAACGUCGUGAGACAGUUCGGUCCCUAUCUGCCGUGGACGUUUGAGAUUUGAGAGGGGCUGCUCCUAGUACGAGAGGACCGGAGUGGACGAACCUCUGGUGUUCCGGUUGUCACGCCAGUGGCAUUGCCGGGUAGCUAUGUUCGGAAUAGAUAACCGCUGAAAGCAUCUAAGCGGGAAACUAGCCUCAAGAUGAGAUCUCACUGGAACCUUGAGUUCCCUGAAGGGCCGUCGAAGACUACGACGUUGAUAGGUUGGGUGUGUAAGCGCUGUGAGGCGUUGAGCUAACCAAUACUAAUUGCCCGUGAGGCUUGACCAUAU